GAAAUAUCCUCUAAGGGACAUGCACUAUAAUUUGUAAUAGUUCCUUGCCUAUGGACUCCUUUGUUUCAUUUUCCAUUUUCACUCCUUCAAUACUUAUCUAAUAGUUCUGACCUCUUUCUUUUCCAUAGAGGAGAGGCAAUCUUUAAAUCCUUGUCGAACGUGAUGUAUCGCUUCAAAGUCUUAACUUGAUUUCCUUAUUCUUCUCUCUUUAGCUUACUUUUUUUAUCAAGAUCGAGAAUGAAAUUCCAAAUAUGUCGGCGGCGUACGUCGCAAAGUCUCCCUAUUAAAAAAGGUUCAAUUUAUAUAAAAACAAAAUCCUAUCCAUUAUUUGGGCAAUACCUACGAGAGUUAUAGAAAUGUAUCAUCAUUUUUUGUUUCCAAUUUAACUCUCCAAGAGAAUUUUUCAUUUUCCAAGGUCCAUUACAUAUCCCACUAAAAGCUUCCAUUCGUAUUAUAGUAAAAUUGGGUCGGAAUGCUCACACCUAAAAAUUUAACGUAGAAUACAGAACACAAAAACCGAAUUGGA
rnacentral:lncRNA from 1 species